GUGCGUAAGGCUAGCCUGCUAGAUCAUGCAGUCGAGCGAUGGAUUAAGAGCUUGCUCUUAUGAAGUUAGCGGCGGAUGGGAGCGGCACACGUGGGUAACCUGCCCAUAAGACUGGGAUAACUCCGAAGAAACCGGGGCUAAUACCGGAUAACAUUUUGAACCGCAUGGUUCGAAAUUGAAAGGCGGCUUCGGCUGUCACUUAUGGAUGGACCCGCGUCGCAUUAGCUAGUUGGUGAGGUAACGGCUCACCAAGGCAACGAUGCGUAGCCGACCUGAGAGGGUGAUCGGCCACACUGGGACUGAGACACGGCCCAGACUCCUACGGGAGGCAGCAGUAGGGAAUCUUCCGCAAUGGACGAAAGUCUGACGGAGCAACGCCGCGUGAGUGAUGAAGGCUUUCGGGUCGUAAAACUCUGUUGUUAGGGAAGAACAAGUGCUAGUUGAAUAAGCUGGCACCUUGACGGUACCUAACCAGAAAGCCACGGCUAACUACGUGCCAGCAGCCGCGGUAAUACGUAGGUGGCAAGCGUUAUCCGGAAUUAUUGGGCGUAAAGCGCGCGCAGGUGGUUUCUUAAGUCUGAUGUGAAAAGCCCACGGCUCAACCGUGGAGGGGUCAUUGGAAACUGGGGAGACUUGAGUGCAGAAGAGGAAAGUGGAAUUCCAUGUGUAGCGGUGAAAAUGCGUAUAGAUAUUGGAGGAACACCAGUGGCGAAGGCGACUUUUUUGGUCUGUAACCUGACCCUGAGGCGCGAAAAGCGUGGGAAG
rnacentral:rRNA from 1 species